CCGCGCUACGGAUGGUCCGAGCAGCGUCCGGCCGACUGGUGGUCGGGCGCGGCGCGUUCUAUUCGCGAAGUGCUGG
rnacentral:tRNA from 1 species